UUGGGCACCUCCAGAGAUGGAGCACCCACACUCUUUGGGCAGCAGUUGGAAAGAAUUCUCAGAGGUGCAGUGGGAUUUCUGCCUUUACAUGCAGGUAGGUGCCAGCCUGUGAGAGGCCCAGGGCUGAAGGUUGUAGAAGCACUGCCCACCAGUCCCUGCUGUCUCCACCACAUGUGGAGCAGCUAUGAGACCCCAAAGGAGCUAUCCUUAGGUAGCAGCCCAAAUGUUGCUGAUUUGUGGAAAUGAGCCUGGGCUGCCAACCUGGUUCUUCCUAGGAGCCCCAAAAAACUUUAAACAUUAAAAAAUAAAGUUUGCACUUGACAAAAAGCAAAUGUUUAAUCUGACACAUCUCAUUAUUCUGACGAAUUUGCAGGAAAAAACAAACUUUGUUAGUCUGUCACAAAGAACUAACAGUUUCUGGAAGUCAAUAAAGCUUGCCUUGGAAGGACACACUUAGCACAGACUUCCGAUUUCCUAGCUAAGUUAUGAAGACGUGAUGCAGGUAGACAGCAGCCAAGACCUCAGUGCAGAAGACACAGAGCCUUCCCCAGACCAGGAUGGCUGGAGUUGAAAGAAUCUCACACUGACAGCAGCUGCCAAAAUCAAACCCUUUUUCAAUGUUUUUUUGAUGUGAAUCACAGGAGGUUUCACUACCGGGAUUUGCAUCCAAAUAGGAACCCUGCAGAUUUCUUCAAAUCCUGGUGACAAACGUAUGACAUUUAUGACUUGCGACUGUUAUCCCACAUGUGUGAAUUGCCAAAACAAAGCUUUCAAAAAAUGGCAACUUUUUUGUUUGUGACUUGAUGCAUUUUGUAAACAAGAAAGUGCCAACAUUGACACAACGUGGUCUGCUCCAUCUCCAGGUACCGGCAAUGCCCUGAGCUGACUGCUGCAGUGGUGUUAAUGAUGCUCUUUCAAUAGCUGAGUGCUGAUACUCCAUGAUUUUGGCUCUGACAACAGGUACCUGUCAGGCAAUUACUCUUCAUGGAUAAGACAGAAACGUCUGGAUGUACAAUGGUUUCUGCAUUAACAAAGUUGCUAUGAUGUAGUCCGCUUUUUGCAUCUACUAACCUGCAGUGACCAGAAGCCAUUAUUUUCAUCGGACACAAUGGCAACCGGAAACAUUACCCUCACAAUGCUGAAGAAUGUAAAUGCAUUAUAUCAUGACCUCCAAGGAUGUGAACAUGCCUAGAGCUGCCUGCGAAAUAUGUUGUGACACCCAACAUGGCAACACAGGAAGUCCCUGCCUGCCUCUGCUGUCCCUGAUGCUGGAGGAGGAUAAGCUUUGCUGGACUCCAGACACUGCAGUGUGACAGCUAAACCAAGGAGCAUCGGAUGCAAUGGAAUUGCUCUACAAGCAACCUUGCCAAAGGCCCUUUUGCUGCACAAAGCUGGCUCUAUCUUUGUAUAUUGAGGGAACUAAAUCAAUGUUAAAUGCUUGGCUCUUUUCACAGGACAAUGACCAGGACCUAAGCUGCGUCCUUCCUAUUUGAUUGACACUUGAAACGUUGAGUUGGAAUCAGCCAGAGGCACUGCUACAAGCUUGAAGCCUCUGCUGGGGAUAACAACUGGUGACAUCUGCAGAAAGGCCGACAAAAGGCAGUUGAAAGCCGUGUUUGUUGCUUUCCCCUCUCAGAUCUCCUCUCUUUCAUGGAGCUCCUUACUUGCUUUAAUAUUAUGAUUCAGCACCUGGCUCUUUUGAACCUUGCUUUAAACUUCAAAAGGCGAGGUGGUAUUAACAAACAUGAAACGAAAAAGUGGCAGUAGUUUGAUUUACUGUUGUCGUCUUAUCAAGGGGGUUUUUUGUCACCAGCUGCCACUUUCUGUCAUCUUUGGAACCAUUAUCAUUUCUCUAAAAUCUAAAAGACUCCACUUAAUAACAGCUUUGAAUACAGGCAGGAUCAGUAACGUAUACAGUUCUGGGAUGACAGGGCCAUGAAAUGAAAAGAAAGAUGUUGACAAAAAAAAAAAAAAAAAAAAAUCCUUAAAAAAAAACAAUAAAACAAAUAAAAGCCAUAGUACUUCUAAGUGACCUUGAUUUCAGAAUUAAACAAAUCAAAUCAAGCACAAUUCCAUUGUUCUUUUUGGAUUAAUUCUGCACUUUCUUUGCAAUGUUUCUUUUUUGUUCUCAGGACUAAGAGAAAACAAAGCCAAGGCUUUCAGAAAACUGCUCGGCACACAACAAGCACUCGGUAUCACAUGAGUGCCGUAAGCUUCUUGCUGUAAGAUUGCCAGCGAUAAUUACUGGUCUUGUUUCCCCACCAUCCCAGCACAGCAACUCGCAUUCAGGCUGAGCUGCCUUGCUAGUCAAAAAUAUGCUCAGCUCCCCUCUUAUAGUGCUGCUCCAUGCUUUCCUGCAGUUCUUCCCAACGUGGUUGUGCUGGUCUUUGGCUGCCAAGGCAGAACCAAAAAUGUUCCUGUGCCUGGUCAAGUUUGCCCGUUGCGGCUGCUCACAUUAAGUCACAGGCAGUCAAAUAAACACAAUUUUCUAAAGUGUAAACCUACUGCACUUUCACACUUGUCACCUCAUCAUUCCUUACAGGAAACUUACUCUGAUCCCUCUGAUCCCUUUGUUUUAUAAUGGUAUGCACAGAAAUUUUUCCAAGUGCCUUCUAAAGUCAUGGAUAAAUGAUGGACAACACAUUGCAAGCAAUGACUUUUAAUUUGUACAUAUUGGAACCUGCAUUUCUGUGCAUCUUAAUAGUUACUUCCAUUUGUGCAAAAAGAGUGAAACCAAUUGAAAAACCCAAAGGAUCCCCUUCACUCUCUUCAUUGAUGUGUCCUCCCUCUCCUUAGUUAUGUGUAACUCCAGGCAAUGGGAUCCAACACUUAUUCUCCCAUUGGCCUCUUCCAGACCUGUUCAACCACAGGAAUCUGGGGGAGAUUUGUGCCAGAAUGUCUUCUUAAAACAGGGAUGGAAACUACAAAAUGAGAAUGUUCAUAAAAGUGAAAGUGCUGACGUCUUGACCAGUGAAAAUAUAGGAUUUCAAGACUACAAAGUUGGUUGACUUUUUAUGGAUUAGGACACAACAUAACUCAUGAAAUUGAGAUGGAGAUUGCUAAAAAUACCUAUUAUCCUCUGACAGAAGCACUUACUGUGUAAUGACAAUGAGACUUUUUCACAGAGCAUGUCCACAUUUGAAAUUCUAGUCUUUUUAACAAGUGUUAAUUACUGCAUGCUAACCAGCAGAAGCGUGUGGGGGAGAUGUUUUAUAUUUACUUGUUCCAGACUGGGAACAUAUUAGAAAGUAGGCUCCAUUCCAGAUUAAUGUGGUAUGAAUGAAUGUGUUACCCAACUACAAAUGAAAAAUAUUGCAAGAAGAAAUAAAGAUUUUUCCCUGGCAUAUUUCUUUGAAGAGGAGACCAAGAAUAUGUUUCGAGCAUUAGGUCAAGUGGAAAUCUGAGCCUGACCCUAUUAAAAGUGUGUGUGGCAUACAGAUACCAUAGCAAUGUAUCUGUGGGAGGUACAUUUUGGUUUACCCAUGAAAAAUGAGGUAUUCUGAAAGAACAUAAAUGGGAAAGAGUGGGUACAGUUGUACCAGUCUCCCUGCGUGCUUUACGAUGAUGCUGGAGAAGAGCUACAUAUACAUAUAUAUAUAUAUGGAUAUAUUUAUAAAUAAUUUAUGUGUAAUUCACUUGUUAUA